rnacentral:rRNA from 1 species
UAACGGUCCUAAGGUAGCGAAAUUCCUUGUCGGGUAAGUUCCGACCCGCACGAAUGGCGUAACGAUGGCCACACUGUCUCCUCCUGAGACUCAGCGAAGUUGAAGUGGUUGUGAAGAUGCAAUCUACCCGCUGCUAGACGGAAAGACCCCGUGAACCUUUACUGUAGCUUUGCAUUGGACUUUGAAGUCACUUGUGUAGGAUAGGUGGGAGGCUUUGAAGCAGAGACGCCAGUCUCUGUGGAGCCGUCCUUGAAAUACCACCCUGGUGUCUUUGAGGUUCUAACCCAGACCCGUAAUCCGGGUCGGGGACCGUGCAUGGUAGGCAGUUUGACUGGGGCGGUCUCCUCCCAAAGAGUAACGGAGGAGUUCGAAGGUUACCUAGGUCCGGUCGGAAAUCGGACUGAUAGUGCAAUGGCAAAAGGUAGCUUAACUGCGAGACCGACAAGUCGAGCAGGUGCGAAAGCAGGACAUAGUGAUCCGGUGGUUCUGUAUGGAAGGGCCAUCGCUCAACGGAUAAAAGGUACUCCGGGGAUAACAGGCUGAUUCCGCCCAAGAGUUCAUAUCGACGGCGGAGUUUGGCACCUCGAUGUCGGCUCAUCACAUCCUGGGGCUGUAGUCGGUCCCAAGGGUAUGGCUGUUCGCCAUUUAAAGUGGUACGUGAGCUGGGUUUAAAACGUCGUGAGACAGUUUGGUCCCUAUCUGCAGUGGGCGUUGGAAGUUUGACGGGGGCUGCUCCUAGUACGAGAGGACCGGAGUGGACGAACCUCUGGUGUACCGGUUGUAACGCCAGUUGCAUAGCCGGGUAGCUAAGUUCGGAAGAGAUAAGCGCUGAAAGCAUCUAAGCGCGAAACUCGCCUGAAGAUGAGACUUCCCUUGUGGUUUAACCACACUAAAGAGUCGUUCGAGACCAGGACGUUGAUAGGUGGGGUGUGGAAGCGCGGUAACGCGUGAAGCUAACCCAUACUAAUUGCUCGUGAGGCUUGACUCU